GUUCUUUUACUAUUAUUUCCAGACUUUAAAAAGUUCUGUGCCAUAUUUGUAUAGCUCUUGAAGGAAGGGUUGUCGAUAAGAGAAGACAGUGGCUGGUAAAUAAAAGAAUACUUCAAUUUAUCGCUCCAUUAAGCAUGAUACAACUUAUCAGCAUGCAGAGGAAAAUAGACCAUAUUCUACAGGUGGCUUAACUGUUGUUAUGCAUACAGCCGUGGAGGAAUGUUGCCUUCCUUCCACAAGAAUCCUGGCCAAGGAGAAGAGCUGAGAACUGUUAAAUAUGUUUUACUUUGAGGAGAAGUUCGGAAAAUUCUCACUGCAUAAUAAAAUUGCCUGUGAGGGUCAGAGAAUCUUCAGAACCCACAUGCAGGGAUUUGAAGACUUGUGUAAGAAUGGCAGUGUCUUUCCCAGCAGGAAGACUGGCCUCUUUACAUUGGAAGACAUCUGGCUGUGAUGUUUGCAUUUCAGAAUCCUUUCCACCUGUUUUUGAUAAGCUGGGUGAAAUAGAUCAACAACAUGAAACUACCUAUAGACACCAAAUGAAGUCAAGGACCCUUGUACUCUCAUCCUGGCAGCCUUUUGUGAAGCAUUUAAAGUCAAAAUACUCUGGACACAUAAAGGAUGGAGAUUUACAUCUUCCUAGAAAGAAGUACAGAAAUGACCAAUCACUGUUGCCAGGAACAUUCUGCCUUUUUCAGAACUUCUCAAGGAGCCCAGGUGAAGCUGUUUGUAUGAGAAAUACACCCUCAAGCCCUCAGGUUUUGAGUUUUCUCAAAAUGUGUCAACUGUGA
rnacentral:lncRNA from 1 species